rnacentral:rRNA from 1 species
CAGUAGCCACGGUAAUACGGAGGGGGCUAGCGUUGUUCGGAAUUACUGAGCGUAAAGGGCGCGUAGGCGGACUGAUAAGUCAGGGGUGAAAUCCCAAGGCUCAACCUUGGAACUGCCUUUGAUACUGUUUGUCUUGAGUUCGAGAGAGGUAAGUGGAACUGCGAGUGUAGAGGUGAAAUUCGUAGAUAUUCGCAAGAACACCAGUGGCGAAGGCGGCUUACUGGCUCGAAACUGACGCUGAGGCGCGAAAGCGUGGGGAGCAAACAGGAUUAGAUACCCCUGUAGUCCCUGUCUCUUAUAC